rnacentral:rRNA from 1 species
GAUGAACGCUAGCUACAGGCUUAACACAUGCAAGUCGAGGGACCGGCGCUCGGGAGAGUAACACGUAUCCAACCUGCCCUUUACUCGGGGAUAGCCUUUCGAAAGAAAGAUUAAUACCCGAUAUAAAGGAUGGGGAGUCGUUCCAUUAGUUUGGUGGUGAGGUAACGGCCCACCAAGCCUUCGAUGGAUAGGGGUUCUGAGAGGAAGGAUCCCGACAUUAGAACUGAGACACUGGCCAAACUUAUACUGGAGUCAGCAGUGUGGGUCAUUGGUCAAUGGGCGGGAGCCUGAACCAACCAAGUAGCGUGAAGGAUGAAGGCUUUUGGGUCGUUAGCAUCUUUUAUGUUAGAAUGUGUAUUGUAUGAAUAAGGAUCGGCUAACGCCACGCGUGCCGCCGCGGUAAUUC